rnacentral:rRNA from 1 species
UUGAACGCUGGCGGCAGGCCUAACACAUGCAAGUCGAGCGGUAACACAGAGAGCUUGCUCUCGGGUGACGAGCGGCGGACGGGUGAGUAAUGUCUGGGAAACUGCCUGAUGGAGGGGGAUAACUACUGGAAACGGUAGCUAAUACCGCAUAACGUCGCAAGACCAAAGUGGGGGACCUUCGGGCCUCAUGCCAUCAGAUGUGCCCAGAUGGGAUUAGCUAGUAGGUGGGGUAACGGCUCACCUAGGCGACGAUCCCUAGCUGGUCUGAGAGGAUGACCAGCCACACUGGAACUGAGACACGGUCCAGACUCCUACGGGAGGCAGCAGUGGGGAAUAUUGCACAAUGGGCGCAAGCCUGAUGCAGCCAUGCCGCGUGUGUGAAGAAGGCCUUCGGGUUGUAAAGCACUUUCAGCGGGGAGGAAGGCGGUGAGGUUAAUAACCUCAUCGAUUGACGUUACCCGCAGAAGAAGCACCGGCUAACUCCGUGCCAGCAGCCGCGGUAAUACGGAGGGUGCAAGCGUUAAUCGGAAUUACUGGGCGUAAAGCGCACGCAGGCGGUCUGUCAAGUCGGAUGUGAAAUCCCCGGGCUCAACCUGGGAACUGCAUUCGAAACUGGCAGGCUAGAGUCUUGUAGAGGGGGGUAGAAUUCCAGGUGUAGCGGUGAAAUGCGUAGAGAUCUGGAGGAAUACCGGUGGCGAAGGCGGCCCCCUGGACAAAGACUGACGCUCAGGUGCGAAAGCGUGGGGAGCAAACAGGAUUAGAUACCCUGGUAGUCCACGCCGUAAACGAUGUCGAUUUGGAGGUUGUGCCCUUGAGGCGUGGCUUCCGGAGCUAACGCGUUAAAUCGACCGCCUGGGGAGUACGGCCGCAAGGUUAAAACUCAAAUGAAUUGACGGGGGCCCGCACAAGCGGUGGAGCAUGUGGUUUAAUUCGAUGCAACGCGAAGAACCUUACCUGGUCUUGACAUCCACAGAGCUUUCCAGAGAUGGAUUGGUGCCUUCGGGAACUGUGAGACAGGUGCUGCAUGGCUGUCGUCAGCUCGUGUUGUGAAAUGUUGGGUUAAGUCCCGCAACGAGCGCAACCCUUAUCCUUUGUUGCCAGCGGUUAGGCCGGGAACUCAAAGGAGACUGCCAGUGAUAAACUGGAGGAAGGUGGGGAUGACGUCAAGUCAUCAUGGCCCUUACGACCAGGGCUACACACGUGCUACAAUGGCAUAUACAAAGAGAAGCGACCUCGCGAGAGCAAGCGGACCUCAUAAAGUAUGUCGUAGUCCGGAUUGGAGUCUGCAACUCGACUCCAUGAAGUCGGAAUCGCUAGUAAUCGUAGAUCAGAAUGCUACGGUGAAUACGUUCCCGGGCCUUGUACACACCGCCCGUCACACCAUGGGAGUGGGUUGCAAAAGAAGUAGGUAGCUUAACCUUCGGGAGGGCGCUUACCACUUUGUGAUUCAUGACUGGGGUG